UCUGGGGCCUGAAAACAUGAAGCCAAGGCAACUUUCUGAUGCCAAUAUGACGAGGUUGGGAAUGAAGUGAUGAGCAAACUUUCUGAUGGUGUGUGGGAAAAUAAUUAGGUUCAGGCGAUGGCAU